rfam:Myotis lucifugus cont2.40360, whole genome shotgun sequence.
CUUGGGGGGGGGGGUGGUCCCUCAGCCUGGAUUGCAAGAGGGAGCAGGUCAGGCCGAGGGACCCCACUGGUGCACA